UGGUCUACUAAGCAAGGUCAGAGAAAGCCAGCAUGGGUUUCAUGGAGGACUAUGCGUAAGCCCAAGUUCAUGGGGGGUUUAGGCUUCAGAGAUAUUGAACUUUUCAACCUCGCUCUCUUAUCCAGGCAGGUUUGGCGGCUGCUCCAGGAACCAGACACGCUUAGUGCGCGUAUUUUAAAAGCCCGGUAUUACCCAUCGGUGGACAUUCUUGAUGCAGCCUUAGGACCUCACUCGUCACAGGUGUGGCGCUCGAUACUUGAGGGAAGAGACAUUCUUGCUCUUGGACUGAUUAAGAGGAUUGGUUCGGGGAUAGGUACACGCAUCUGGGAGGAUAAUUGGCUACCU
rnacentral:rRNA from 1 species